rnacentral:rRNA from 1 species
AGAGUUUGAUCCUGGCUCAGAUUGAACGCUGGCGGCAUGCCUUACACAUGCAAGUCGAACGGCAGCACGGGGGCAACCCUGGUGGCGAGUGGCGAACGGGUGAGUAACAUAUCGGAACGUGCCCUGGAGUGGGGGAUAACUAGUCGAAAGACUAGCUAAUACCGCAUACGAUCUACGGAUGAAAGUGGGGGAUCGCAAGACCUCAUGCUCGUGGAGCGGCCGAUAUCUGAUUAGCUAGUUGGUGGGGUAAAGGCCUACCAAGGCAUCGAUCAGUAGCUGGUCUGAGAGGACGACCAGCCACACUGGGACUGAGACACGGCCCAGACUCCUACGGGAGGCAGCAGUGGGGAAUUUUGGACAAUGGGCGCAAGCCUGAUCCAGCAAUGCCGCGUGAGUGAAGAAGGCCUUCGGGUUGUAAAGCUCUUUUGUCAGGGAAGAAACGGCGGGGACUAAUAUUUCCUGCUAA